ensembl:lncRNA
CUCCUACAAGAAAGUGUGGUCAGAGAAGAUAUAUAGAAGCUCCCAGGUGUCUUCCUUAAAAGACAGCAGAGGCUUGCUCUGUGCACCUCGCAGGUCCACCCCUCCUUCAUUGUCUGGCCAUGUUCUGAACAAGAGGCAGAUGGCUGUACUUUAAGGCCAGCUAGAAGAAACCCCAAAAUACCCAGGCCAGGAUUCAGGCAGAUAACUGGUUUGACUCUAAGUCCAUGCUCUUUCCACUGAGCCAUUUUUUCAAGGCCUUAUUCACAAAAGUUUACUCAGUAAAAGACAUAAGACACGUGUGUAAAGAACAGAAUGAAGUCUGAGCAAGGUUGACCAUGGACCACAUUUUGAGAAACGUUUGGUUGGGCAAUAACAUUGGACAAAUAAGUGGAAGGAAAGACAAAGAAAGAGGAAAAAAAUACAGGCUAUGAAGGAAAAGCAAUUUGGUAAUUGCAUGUUGGAAGAUAAGAUAAGUGAAUUCGGUAUCUUCUGUGUGUGCUGUUGCAAGCAGAACACAGUGGCUGGGUGAUGAUCAGGAACCACAGAGAAGAUGACUUAUCCCUGAACUUUCCAGGCCUUGAACUUGAGAAAGAUUGGCAGUGAUAGCAGGAGUGGAAUAAGAAUAUUGAAAAGGCCGGGAAGAAAUGGCAUUCCCACGAGAGGAGGACACAGAGCAAACCAUCAUCCCCAAGACUGGACUGACAGACAGGCAAAUACUAGGAGUCCACGUUUACCAGAGCAGAGACUCAGGAGCAGAAACCGCCACAGGAACCAGGCCUGGGUGGGAAAGCCUGAACUGUAUCAGUAAUUGACUGAUGGCUGGAGACCCAGCAUGAACAACUCUGAGAAUUCAAAGCUCCAAAGAGACCCAGUCUCUUGUGGGUUUUAUGUCCAGGAGCCCAAGCGGUUUGUCGCAAUAAAUAUUGCAGAAAAACUCCCUCCUGUUUUAGGAAGGGCAAGAGGAAAAGGAAGGAUUUUGAAAUAUGCUAGAGCACACUGAUCUUAGGGAGAUCUGCCCUCAGGAGACACUUGUUAACUAGAGCCUAACCUGCUGGGGUGCUUUGGGAGCUUAACUGACCUGAGGGAAGGAAAGCACCUAUCUCUAGUCAGCUAGUCUACCAUGUGAGUGAAGUGAACUAAUCAACCGUGGUCCACUCUAACCAUCCUUUCCCACCUAAGGAGGAGAAUUUAAAAAAAGCAACUGAGUAGUGCUUAUGAAGUUCAUAGUCCAAAGGCUCACUCAAAGAAUUAGACCUAAUCAUAGACAAUAAAACUUUUCUCCACUAUUCUCCCACUGACCAGCACAAUAUUGAAGGUCUGU